GUGCUAAGGUAGCAAAAUCAUUUGUUUUUUAAUUGAAAACUGGAAUGAACGAUUGAACAAAAAAUUGUUAUUUUAAAAAAUUUUGUUUAAUUUUUAUUUUAUGUAAAAAUACAUAAAUAAUUAAAAGGGACGAUAAGACCCUAAAAGCUUGAUUAUUAAGUUUAUUAUUGUGUAUAAAAAUAGAAAAUAAUUUUGCUGGGGUAGUAGUGUAUAUAACAAAUAUUUUUUAUAACAAAUAGGAGUAAAGGGCCUUUAUUUUAGGAAAAAUAGGUAAAGUUACUUUAGGGAUAACAGCGUAAUAAUAGUAGGGAGAUCUUAUUUAUACUAUUGUUUUCGACCUCGAUGUUGAAUUAAAUUUCUUUUUAAAGCAAAAAUUAUUUUUGAAAGUUUGUUCAACUUUUAAAAUUUUACAUGAUC
rnacentral:rRNA from 1 species